rnacentral:rRNA from 1 species
AGGGAUCAUUACACAAAUAUGAAGGCGGGCUGGAAUCUCUCGGGGUUACAGCCUUGCUGAAUUAUUCACCCUUGUCUUUUGCGUACUUCUUGUUUCCUUGGUGGGUUCGCCCACCACUAGGACAAACAUAAACCUUUUGUAAUUGCAAUAGCGUCAGUAACAAAUUAAUAAUUACAACUUUCAACAACGGAUCUCUUGGUUCUGGCAUCGAUGAAGAACGCAGCGAAAUGCGAUAAGUAGUGUGAAUUGCAGAAUUCAGUGAAUCAUCGAAUCUUUGAACGCACAUUGCGCCCUUUGGUAUUCCAAAGGGCAUGCCUGUUCGAGCGUCAUUUGUACCCUCAAGCUUUGCUUGGUGUUGGGCGUCUUGUCUCUAGCUUUGCUGGAGACUCGCCUUAAAGUAAUUGGCAGCCGGCCUACUGGUUUCGGAGCGCAGCACAAGUCGCACUCUCUAUCAGCAAGGUCUGGCAUCCAUUAAG